AACGAACGCUGGCGGCAGGCUUAACACAUGCAAGUCGAACGCACCGCAAGGUGAGUGGCAGACGGGUGAGUAACACGUGGGGAUCUGCCCAAUGGUACGGAAUAGCUCCGGGAAACUGGAAUUAAUACCGUAUGAGCCCGCAAGGGGAAAGAUUUAUCGCCAUUGGAUGAACCCGCGUCGGAUUAGCUAGUUGGUGUGGUAAAGGCGCACCAAGGCGACGAUCCGUAGCUGGUCCGGGAGGAUGAUCAGCCACACUGGGACUGAGACACGGCCCAGACUCCGACGGGAGGCAGCAGUGGGGAAUAUUGGAGAAUGGGCGCAAGCCUGAUCCAGCCAUGCCGCGUGAGUGAUGAAGGCCUUAGGGUUGUAAAGCUCUUUCGCCGACGAAGAUAAUGACGGUAGUCGGAGAAGAAGCCCCGGCUAACUUCGUGCCAGCAGCCGCCGUAACAC
rnacentral:rRNA from 1 species